CGUGUGAGGGUAAGAGAUUUAUUUCUUCUUUGAUCAUUUCUUGAGAGUUGUUAUUUUUUUUCAACAGUGGAUUUGCUUAUAAGCUGCUAAGGAGAGGUUACCCGGUGGGCAGGCGGGGCGGGCAGGACGGGCCGUGCACGUGCCCUGUUGUCCCGGCGGGCUGGCGGGGAUAAACGCGGCGCUUCGCAAAUACCUGUAAGCCUGGGCGGGGGACUAUUGGCGGCAGACAUGAAGCAAGCGGGGUUACGGCAGGUUAGUGGAAGGGAGCAGGAAAGCAGAUUAAGUUGAAAAUGUAUAUUUUUUUAUAUAUAUAUAUAUAUGCUCAUUAGGUGGCCACAACUUUGUAUCUCAGCAGUUCACCAAGAGAAAAAUGUGAGCAUACGGAGCUAUAUUUCGGUUCUGAUUCUCUUCUUUUAGGGAUGCCAGAGGCUUUAUCUAUAGAAAGUUUUUUUUUGGGGGGGGGUGUUGGUGUUUUUUUCUUUUUUGGUUUGGUUUUUUUCUUCUCCUUCUUCGUCGCCUUUUUAAACUCUCUUCAGGUUUGCUGCAAGUGUUUGCUAAGAGAUUAGUUAGCCAGCUUCCAUGGCGGAGGUAGCCCUGGGAAGCAGCUCGUUGCUGGGAGGAAUGCUCAGUAGGUCAGGGCGUGAAGAUAUAAGGAGCUGCCCAGCUGAGGCUGGGGAUCAGGUAUUUUCCUCUUUGUUUCCUAUCAGAGACAAAGUGCUUAUGGAAAGGUUUGUGGUGAGACAUCAAAUCCCAGCAGGAGCACAGAUGUUCCCACUUUUACAGGCUUACCAAUGAACAUUUCAGCUUAAACAAGUUUAUGAAAUAAAAGAUUUAUUUAUUUUUCCCCGGUAGAUGCAGCAUCUUAGUUUGAUUGUGUAAAGAUUGUAUCGCUCCAGCCACUCCGGGUUAUUCGGUCCAAGGCACGGUGCUUUACUCGAGGGCUCGAGCAGGCCAGCAGAUGAGACCAGGAACCCCCCAAGAUGUCUCCAAACGGCAGCGACCCCCAUGCCCCCGUGGAGGGUAGCAGCAUGGGAGCCCUCCCCAGGUCGGCCUCGUCCCUUCGGUUCGGUGUCCCGGUUUUGGUCUGCGGUGGGUGAUGCUGCAGGUCUGGUGGUGAUGGGCUAGCACAGCGGCUGAUGUGGCUUCUCCCCCCUUGGCAAGUCCUAGCUGAUGGAGACCUCUCCCUCCAUGGAUUGUGUGGGCAACUGGGAGAGCUGCCACCUCUCUUCUGGGGGGGUCCCCUCCCCUGCUGCAGGCAGCACAGGUAACCUCUGGGGUGGGCUUCUCCCCGUGUCCCACCUGUACUGGGGGAUUCAUAGCCUUGAGGUGGGAGACCCCCAGCAGAACCAUCCCGGGCCACUGGCGGAGCACGGUGGUGGUGGCACCAUCUCCCAAAGCCCGGGUGCUGCUAGAGCCACGCGUCUGCUCCCUUCCCGCUCCGGUGCGGCCUCCCUCCCUGGGAAAGCAAGCAGGCUUUGCCUCCAAUGGGCACGGUCUCGGUGCAUCUCCACGGGGAGAUAGAUAUAUAGAUAUAUAUAUAUAUAUAUGUAUAAAACUUGGACGAUCUGUAUCUGCCAGCCAUGAGUCAGAUUAAGGUCUUAUCCCCCUGUAACAUGCAGCUGGAGAUGGCCGGUGCCACGGCACACGUGUGUCAGUAACGAUCCCCGGGGUUGGUGAACUGUGAGUCUUUUUGCCAUCGUUGUUUCUUUCCAUCACUCACCUGCUCCUUCCCGAUAGCGAUCUGAGGGAGUUGGGCAAGUGGCAGACUUGCCAACCCGCAGCUCCCAGGCUUGGCAAAAAGCAAGCC